GACGAACGCUGGCGGCGUGCUUAACACAUGCAAGUCGAACGGUGAAGGAGAGCUUGCUCUCCGGAUCAGUGGCGAACGGGUGAGUAACACGUGGGCAACCUGCCCCGGACUUCGGGAUAACGCUUCGAAAGAGGUGCUAAUACCGGAUACGAACUCCUUGGGCAUCCUUGGAGUUGGAAAGUUUUUCGGUCUGGGAUGGGCCCGCGGCCUAUCAGCUUGUUGGUGAGGUAACGGCUCACUAAGGCGACGAUGCGUAGCCGACCUGAGAGGGUGAUCGGCCACACUGGGACUGAGACACGGCCCAGACUCCUACGGGAGGCAGCAGUAGGGAAUCUUCCGCAAUGGACGGAAGUCUGACGGAGCAACGCCGCGUGAGCGAUGAAGGCCUUCGGGUCGUAAAGCUCUGUUGUCAGGGAAGAACAAGUACCGGAGUAACUGCCGGUACCUUGACGGUACCUGACCAGAAAGCCACGGCUAACUACGUGCCAGCAGCAGCCGCGGUAA
rnacentral:rRNA from 1 species